rnacentral:rRNA from 1 species
GACGAACGCUGGCGGCGUGCCUAAUACAUGCAAGUCGAGCGAUGAAGAUUGGUGCUUGCACCUAUUUGAAGAGCAGCGAACGGGUGAGUAACGCGUGGGGAAUCUGCCUUUGAGCGGGGGACAACAUCUGGAAACGAAUGCUAAUACCGCAUAACAACUUUAAACAUAAGUUUUAAGUUUGAAAGAUGCAAUUGCAUCACUCAAAGAUGAUCCCGCGUUGUAUUAGCUAGUUGGUGAGGUAAAAGCUCACCAAGGCGAGGAUACAUAGCCGACCUGAGAGGGUGGUCGGCCACAUUGGGACUGAGACACGGCCCAAACCCCUACGGGAGGCAGCAGUAGGGAAUCUUCGGCAAUGGACGAAAGUCUGACCGAGCAACGCCGCGUGAGUGAAGAAGGGUUUCGGAUCGUAAAACUCUGUUGAUAGAGAAGAACGUUGGUGAGAGUGGAAAGCUCAUCAAGUGACGGUAACUACCCAGAAAGGGACGGCUAACUACGUG